rnacentral:lncRNA from 1 species
CUCAAGUGGGAGGACCAAGCAGAAGGGGAACAUCCUUCUCCCUGGCUUCUGUGGGGGACACUUGCUCCUGUUCAAGAUUCCCCAUGAGGCUGUCACCUUAGAGGGGUUUGCAGGCGGUGCUCUCAGUGUGUCUGUCAUGUUGAGAUCCCAGCUUCAGGGUGAGGAGACCCUACAGUGACCUUACUGUUGGCUGAUUCCAGAGAGCCAACUCAUUAUUCUGAAUUGAAAUUUCUCCAUCUCCAAAAUCAGAGGUAAAGAUCAAAGUAUCUUGAG